rnacentral:lncRNA from 1 species
UUUUGUUUUGAUCAAAGUUGGGUUAUGCAGGUAAGUGUUCAAUCUCAUGUUAAUUUGAAAACGCCUCAAUCUUAAGCUUCAAGAUCUCGAGUAAAUGUGAUGUUUAUUUAUGUUACUUAAUAACAGGUAAAUGGGGGAUAUCUACAAAUUUUGAUGGUACACGACUUUUCAUUAACGACAAUUUUGAUCAGAUGCUGACAUUCAAGGAAAAAAUCUUAAUACAAUGUUGGGUCGAAGAUGCUGGAGAAUGAACUUAAGCGUAAUUUGGAUGCCGUUUAUGAUGUGGAUUUAUGUUCUUCUCAGUCUUCUACUAAACCGCCUAAAGGUGAUUGUGAGAACAAUGAAGGUUUGAAUGUGAAGGUGGGUCUUUUGAAUCCAAAGCUGGAAAAGUAGUCUCAGAAUCUAAUAGUCAUCUGAGUUUCUUCAAACAGUUUUCAAUGUUUUUUUUUUCGUUCAAUCGUAUUCAGAACAUUUAUGUCAGUACUUGAUGUUGCUUUUUACUCAAUAUUUGUUGCGGUUUAUCUUGAUUUUCGUUUAUUAUUGUUAUAUCAAUAAGA